rnacentral:rRNA from 1 species
UGGGGAUGACGUCAAAUCAUCAUGCCCUUUAUGACCUGGGCUACAAACGUACUACAAUGGCCAGAUACAAAGAGAUGCGAAGCCGCGAGGUGGAGCGAACCUCAUAAAAAUGGUCUCAGUUCGGAUUGGAGUCUGCAACUCGCCUACAUGAAGUCGGAAUCGCUAGUAAUCGCGGAUCAGCACGCCCGCGGUCCGAAUACGUUCCGGCCUU